rnacentral:snRNA from 1 species
CAGUGUUACAGCUCUUUUAGAAUUUGUCUAGAAGGUCUUCUGGUCUCUAUCAGAAUGCCCCG